rnacentral:rRNA from 1 species
UACGUAGGGCGCAAGCGUUAUCCGGAAUUAUUGGGCGUAAAGAGCUCGUAGGCGGUUUGUCGCGUCGGGAGUGAAAACUCAGGGCUCAACCCUGAGCGUGCUUCCGAUACGGGCAGACUAGAGGUAUGCAGGGGAGAACGGAAUUCCUGGUGUAGCGGUGGAAUGCGCAGAUAUCAGGAGGAACACCGGUGGCGAAGGCGGUUCUCUGGGCAUGACCUGACGCUGAGGAGCGAAAGCAUGGGGAGCGAACAGG